rnacentral:rRNA from 1 species
GAUUAAUAAUUAAUAAAGUGAAUUAAAUUUGAUUUAGUUUAAAUUUUUUAUAAAAAAUAUAUUUAUAGUAAGAUGGGGUUAAAGUAAUAUUUUUUGAAUAAAUUUUAUUUAUAGAAUUGAAAAAGGGGAGUAAAUUAAAAUAAAGAAAAUUUUUUUUAUUGUUCCUUUUGUAUAAGGAUUGAAUAAAUAAAUUUUAUGAAAAUUAAAUUUCUUGAAAUAAUAAUAUUUAAUAUAAAGGUAAAUAAAUUUUUAGUUAUUAUUUUAAAAGUAUUAAUAAAUUUAUAUUAAAAAUUAAAAGUUAAAAUGAUUAUUAUAUAUCUAGUUUUUUAAGAGAUAAAUUUAAUUUAGAAUUAAUUAGAGUUAUAAUUUUAAAAUUAAUUAAUUUAUAAGUAUUUAAUUUAAUUAAAGAAGGGAUAAAUUUUUUUUAAUAGAUUAAAAUUUUUAUAAAUAGUAGUAAAUAAUGUGGAUUAAUAAAAUUAUUUAUGUUGAUAAAGUAUAAUAAUUAAUUAUUAACAUUGAUAUUUUUAAAUUAAAAUUUAGUUAAUUUAUUAAAAUUUAUUUAAAAAUAAUUUGUUAAUUAAUAAUAAUGUUUAAAUUAGUAAAAGUUUAAAAUUUAUUUAAUAGUUUUAAAAAUAGAAUUAUUAUGAAAGAAUUAGGCAAAAUUUAUAGUCACUUGUUUAUCAAAAACAUGUCUUUAAGAGAAAUUAAUUUUAGGUUAAAUCUGUUCAAUGAUUUUUAAAUAACUGCAGUAUUUUAACUGUACAAAGGUAGCAUAAUCAGUUGUUUUUUAAUUGGAAACUAGAAUGAAAGAUUUAAUGAAUAAUAAACUUUUUUAAGUUGGAUAUAUUUUGAAUUUAAUUUUAAAGUAAAAAAUCUUUAAUAUUUUUAAAAGACGAUAAGACCCUAUAAAAUUUAAUAUUUAUUUUUUUUAUUAUAUAAAAUAUUUAUAAUUAAUAAAAUAAUAUAUUUAUUUGGGAGGAAUUAAAAAUUUAAAAAACUUUUUAUUUAUUUAAUUAGAUAUAAUUUUUAAAUAGAAUAAAUUUUAUUAUUUUAGAUUAAAUUACUUUAGGGAUAACAGAAUAAAAUUAUUAUUGAGACCAUAUUUAUAAUAGAUUUUAUUACCUCGAUGUUGAAUUAAAAUAAGGUUUAAUUGAAGAAAAUUAAAUUUUUAGUCUGUUCGACUAUUUUAUUUUACAUGAUUUGAGUUCAAAUCGGUGUGAGCCAGAUUGGUUUCUAUCUUUAAUUAAGUAUUAAUUUUAUUGUACGAAAGGAAUUAAAAUUAUUUAGAAU